CCUUUGAUGACGACUGGCGCACGGGUGAGUAACGCGUAUCCAACCUUCCCAUAACUACGGGAUAACCCGUUGAAAGACGGCCUAAUACCGUAUGAUAUCGUUUGCUGACAUCAAAUAACGAUUAAAGGUUUAGCGGUUAUGGAUGGGGAUGCGUCUGAUUAGCUUGUUGGCGGGGUAACGGCCCACCAAGGCUACGAUCAGUAGGGGUUCUGAGAGGAAGGUCCCCCACAUUGGUACUGAGACACGGACCAGACUCCUACGGGAGGCAGCAGCU
rnacentral:rRNA from 1 species